UARAGUYUGAUCCUGGCUSAKAACKWRYGCUGGCGGCGUGCWUAACACAUGCAAGUCRAACGUGAUCCGGAGCUUGCUCCGGUGAAAGUGGCGCACGGGUGAGUAACGCGUGGAUAACCUGCCCUGGUAUCUGGGAUAACAUCUCGAAAGGGGUGCUAAUACCGGAUAAGCCCACGGUCUCUUCGGAGAGUGCGGGAAAAGGGGGCCUCUGUAUAUGCUCCUGUCGCUAGAUGAGUCCGCGGCCCAUUAGCUAGUUGGUAGGGUAAUGGCCUACCAAGGCUACGAUGGGUAGCUGGUCUGARAGGAUGAUCASCCMCACUGGAACUGARACACGGUCCARACUCCUACGGGAGGCAGCAGUGGGGAAUUUUGCGCAAUGGGCGAAAGCCUGACGCAGCAA
rnacentral:rRNA from 1 species